AGUUGUGGGGCAUCUUGUGUCUGAAGUAUCUAUCCUUGGCCAGGAAACUAGAGUCAAUGAUGUUUUAGCCUUUAUUUAGCUGAGUUGUGAAACGCUGGCAAGACAAUGUUUUGAUAUGUAAUUCAGCCCCUGGUUGCUGGUUGAUUUACUGGUGAACCAUACCUUUGCUAUCCAAUUUUGGUGCUUUAACAAUGUUUUGAUAUGUUCUGCCUGUUCCAUGUAUCCUCAAUCGCUGCCUCAUUUUUCUGCUAGUCUUUUGGUGAACCUCUCUUUGUAAAUUGGCACAUCGUUGAGUGGUAAGUGCCAUGGUUGUUACAGCGCAACAAAUCUCAUUCCGACUGUACAUGGUCACUUGGUGAUUUGGUUACUGAGGUGUUUGAUUGUAGGAAGCUCCUUCCCUUACCGUCUAUUGCGGAGUAGGCCUGGUGAUUUGGUUACUGAGGUGUUUGAUUGUAGGAAGCUCCUUCCCUUGCCGUGGUCGCAGAGUAGGACCAAUGGCUCCUUCGCGCGUCAAGGACGAUAAGCUGCCACACAAAAUGUCGUGAGUCAUGACGUGCACCUUGACAUUCGAUUGUGUGUGUCUGUCAGUCCUAAUUUCGUGCGGCUAUACUCACAUUUGUAAUCGUUCGUGAAUGUAGGAUUAUCGGUCGGGGUUUUACACGAUGUUUUUAAGCUGUCAAAUUGUCAAAUUGUGAUUGGGCUAAGGGGAGGUUGGAGCCCCACCAACCCAAAAUCAGGGGGACAUCCAUGAGAAUCGAUCGCACAAUGAUUGGACCGUCCGACAUCCAUGAGAAUCGAUCGGUUCGUGAUAAAUUUGUAGUUACAAACACGUGCGAUGACUCCCUGCACGAAAUUAAGACUGACGGACGCAGCUCACGAUGAGAUGCUAGACGUGCCGAUCAACCUGAAAAUCAGGGGGACAUGUUUAAAUCAGGAGGACAUGUUUAGUUAGUGAGGAAGGAGCCUGUAGAAGUUUGUAAGACUCCGCGCGUCUAGCAUUGGUCGCACAAUGAUUGGACUGUCCGACAUCCAUGAGAAUCGAUCGGUUCGUAAUAAAUUUGUAGUUUAUCUCAUCGUGUGUUUUUCUCUUCCAACACUGCUCACGCGCGUUUCUGCUGGUGGAGUUUUGUUCAAGGAGGCCCGUAUUUUUGUGGGUUUAGAUUUUUCUCACUUGUAAUUUCUUUCUACUCUCAAACAUGUAAGGGCAUCCUACAGUUGGACUGGGCAAAUUUGGCCCCUCAAACAUUCGCGGAUGCGUUCGAUCAGUGUUCAGCGUGUCUGUUUUGACUCCUUAUUUGUUCGUCCACGUAGUCAUGUCCUUCCUUUUUUUUCCUAUAUGUCAAGGCACAUGCAUGUGAUUGAAGAAGAGAGAGAAAGAAAAGAAAUAAUAAAAGAAAAAUAUGCUUUGUGGUGGGCCAAAUCUUAUGUGACGGACGCAGGAUCAAUGACCGGACACGACCGGGCACUCCUCAUACUCAUCUCAGACAUAAGGGCAAUAUGAGGGGUGUCAGACAACCCACGCAUUUAUGGAGGCUUUGAGGGGUCCGAUUGGGUCAGCUUUUUUCUUCUCUCUCUCAUGUCCGAUCAGUGGUCCUGCGUCUGCCUGCUCAAUUUGGAGAGUUCGGCUGUAGAUGCUUGUAGUCAAGUAGGCCUGGGGGGAGGGGGUGAUUAGACUACUUAACCAAAUAAAAACCUAGUCUUUUUCCAAUUUUAGUUCUUGGCAAGUUUUAGCAAUUCUCACAAGUCGAGCAACACGCUACACAUGCAAGUCUAGAUAGUAGGCAUCAGAAAGUAAAGACUUUUCAUAUGAAUGCAACGGAGGAGUCGGAGAAAACCAAACGCAAUGAAGACAAUUUGCGUGGUUCCGAUAGGUGGUGCUAUCGUGCGUGCACGUUGAUGGAGACUUCAACCCACGAAGUGUCGGCUGCGUGAGUCCACGGAGGGCUCCACCCAUGAAGGGUCCACAAAGAAACAACCUUGUCUAUGCCAUCAUGGCUUCCGUCCACGAAGGACUAGCCUCACUCGGGGUAGAUCUUCAAGAAGCAGGUGAUCUCCUUGCCCUUACAAACUCCUUGGUUCUGUUGGAAAUAUGCCCUAGAGGCAAUAAUAAAGUUGUUAUUAUCAUAUUUCCUUGUUCUUGAUAAGUGUUUAUUCUCCAUGCUUUAAUUGUAUUGACGGGAGACUUAAAUACAUGUAUGGAUACAUAAACAAACACCGUGUCCCUAGUGAACCUCUACUAAAAUAGCUCGUUGAUUUAAAGACAAUUAAGAUUUUCUAACCAUGAACAUGAGUUGUCAUCUAAUAAAGAGAUCAUAUAUUUAGGAGAAUGAUGUGAUGAACAUACCCAAUCAUAAGCUUAGCAUCUGAUCGUGUCACUAAGUUCAAAUUGCCAUAGCUUUCUUAAUGUAAAGUAUCUAUUCCUUGGACCAUGAGAUCAUGCCACUCGCUAAUACCGGAAGAAUGCUUUGUGGGUAUCAAAUGUCACUUUGUAUGUGGGUGAUUAUAAAGGUGCUAUUCAGGUAUUUCGGAAGGUACUGGUGAUAUGGAUCGAGACUGGGAUUUGUCACUCCAUGUUCGGAGAGAUAUCUCUAGGCCCUCUCGGUAAUAAAACAUCCUAAGUAGCUUUCAAGCAUGUGACUAAUGUGUUUAGUCACAGGGAUAUUGUAUUAUAGAACGAUUAAAGAGAACUUGCCAGGUAACGAGAUUGAAUUAGGUAUGGUGAUACCAACGAUCGAAUUCCGUGCAAGUAAAAUAUCGCGAGACAAAGGGAAUGGAAUACAUGAUUGUUUCAAUCCUCAACAUUGUGGUUUAAACCGAUAAAGAUCUUCGUUGAAUAUGUGGGAUCCAUUAUGGGCAUCCAGGUCUCGCUAUUGAUUAUUGAUGGGAGAAGUUGUCUCGGUUCUCGAACCCGUAGGGUCACACACGUAACGUUCGGUAAUGCUAGGGUAGUAAUGAGAUAUUCAUAAUGGUGAGACCAAAGAUAGUUCAGAGUCUCAGAUAGGAUCCGGGAUAUCACGAGGAGCUUCGGAAUGGUCCAGAGAUAAAGUUUCAUGUAAGGAAAGUGGUGUUCAGGGUUCCAGAAAAUGUUCAGGAUUUUUUGGUAUUGUACCGGGAAGGUUCUUGAAGGUUCUGGAGUGGGGCUCACCUGCAUGGAGGGACCCACAUGGACAUGGGUAGUGGGGCACCAAGAUCCCCCCUAAAAGAAAUAGGAUUAUAUCCCGAAGGAAUAAGAUCAAGAUCCCUAAAAAGGGGAUCACGAUCGGCGGGGAAGGAAAGGAGGGGAUUUUCUCCCCCACUCCCUAGUGCGCAACCCUUAGGGGCUUGGAGGAGGGGACAAGCCUCCCCCCACGCCUAUAUAAAGGGGGGGAGUGAUACAUCUCCAACGUAUCUAUAAUUUUUGAUUGUUUCAUGCUAUUAUAUUAUCUAUUUUGGAUGUUUUAUGUGCAUUAAUAUGCUAUUUUAUAUUAUUUUUGGGACUAACCUAUUAACCCAGAACCCAGUGCAGUUUCUGUUUUUUUUCCUUGUUUUUGAGUUUGGCAGAAAAGGAAUAUCAAACGGAGUCCAAACGGAAUAAAACUUUACGAUGAUUUUUCUUGGACCAGAAGACACACGUAGGACUUGGAGACCAAGGAAAAGGAGUCCCGAAGCGACGGCAAGGGUGCAGGGCACGCACCAUGGGGGUGUGCCCCUGCCUUGUGGGUCCCUCGGAGCUCGUCUAACCCUAUUCUUCGCCUAUAAAUUCCCAAAUAUUCCCAAGACACCAGAAGCGUCCAUGAAAAAAUACUUUUCCUCUGUUCCCAUGAGAUCCCAUAUUCGGGCCUUUUCCGGCGAUCUGCCAGAGGGGGAUUCGAUCACGGAGGGCAUCUACAUCAACCCUAUUUCCCUUCCGAUGAAGCAUGAGUAGUUUACCUCAAAACUACGGGCCCAUAGCUAGUAGCUAGAUGGCUUCUUCUCUCUCUAUGAUCUUCAAUACCAAGUUCUCCUCGAUGUUAUUGGAGUUCUAUCCGAUGUAUUCUUUUGCGAUGUGUUUGUCGAGAUCCGAUGAAUUGUGGAUUUAUGAUCAGAUUAUCUAUGAAUAUUAUUUGAAUCUUCUCUGAAUUCUUAUAUGCAUGAUUUGAUAUCUUUUGUAUUUCUCUUCGAAUUAUUGGUUUGGUUUGGCCAACUAGAUUGGUAUUUCUUGCAAUGGGAGAGGUGCUUAGUUUUGGGUUCAAUCUUGCAGUGUCCUCACCCAGUGACAAAGUAGGGGUAGCGAGGCACGUAUUUGUAUUGUUUUCAUCAAGGAUAAAAAGGUGGGGGUUUCAUCAUAUUGCUUGAGUUUAUCCCUUUGCAUCAUGCCAUCUUACUUAAUGCGUUACUCUGUUCUCUUGAACUUAAUACUCUAGAUGCAGGCAGGAGUCGGCCGAUGUGUGGAGUAAUAGUAGUAGAUGCAGAAUCGCUUCGGUCUACUUGACACGGACGUGAUGCCUAUAUGCAUAAUCAUUGCCUUGGAUAUCGUCAUAACUUUGCGCUUUUUCUAUCAAUUGCUCGACAGUAAUUUGUUCACCCACCGUAUUAUUUGCCUUCAAGAGAGAAGCCUCUAGUGAAACCUAUGGUCCCCGGGUCUAUUUUCCCUUAUAUAUUUUCAGAUCUAUAAACCAAAAAAACCAAAAAAAUAUCUUGCUGCAAUUUAUUUACUUUUAUUUUGUUUUACGUUUUAGUUAUCUUUUAUAUCUAUCUCUAUCAGAUCUCACCAUUGCAAUCGACUGUGAAGGGAUUGACAACCCCUUUAUCGCGUUGGGUGCAAGUGUUUGAUUGUUUGUGUAGGUGCAUAAAUUGGAGGCUUGCUUGUGCCUCCAACUGGAUUGAUACCUUGGUUCUCUAACUGAGGGAAAUACUUAUCUCUACUUUGCUGCAUCACCCUUUCCUCUUCAAGGAAAAAACCAACGUAAGCUCAAGAAGUAGCAGGAAGAAUUUCUGGCGCCGUUGCCGGGGAGGUUCUACAUCAAGCCUACCAAGUACCCAUCAUAGACUCUCAUCUCUUGUAUUACAUUAUUUGCCAUUUGCCUCUCGUUUUCCUCUCCCUCACUUCUAAAACUAUUUUUAGAAAAAUACAAAAAGAUUUGCCUUUUUAUUCGCCCUUCUUUCAUUCGUCUUUUCGUUUGUUUUUGUUUGCUUGUGUGCUAGAUUGAUUUGUUGCCGCCAUGUCUGAAUCAGGGGGGGGUAUCAUUGAAAAUUUUGAGGACCUUGCUAGUAUAAAUCUCGAGGAAAAACUUGGAUCUUGUUCUUUAGAUCAUGAAAGUGAAAAACCUCCUAAUUAUAAAGUAAAAACUUUUCAUGUGGGAGACGGUAAUAUUAUUGGGAAAAGUGUUAUUCAGGAAUUCUUUGAUUGUAUGGGAACUACGCCUAUUAAUAAAAGAUCUAUUCUUCUCGAUACAAAUUGUUAUGCGGAUGCCAUUGUCAUGCUUAUUGAGAAAUUAGAAAGAAAAUUUGUGCAUAUCCAUCCUGCUUUGCAAAAGGUGUUUUAUGAACUUACCGAUAUUAAUCAUCCUAAAGCUAAAAAGAUUGCAACUAUCAUCCUUAUGCGGGAAUUUGAUUUUAUAAUACAAGAGGCUAGGGAAAUUUUUGCUUUCUAUAAUAAAGAUGUUGAACAUCCUCCGAUUGAAGAAAUUCUCCAUGGUAAAGAAACUUUGCGUAGUUUGGAAUCUAGAGAUUAUCAAUCUUACAGUGACAAUCUUAGGAGGAGAGUUCCCUACUCGGAAUUCACACAAACCUUGUAUCUCGAGACUUAUGAUAAAUUUGACUGGAUAACAAGGGGAAUUUAUGUAGGAUUUAAUGGUGAUUGGUUAGAAAAUAUGACUAGGGAACCCGUUAAAAAUGAGAUACGUGUUUUAUAUGAUGAUAUAUACGGUAAUGAUCCGGAUUACGGGUUUAUGAAUAUCAAAAUCACUAAUCAAAGUCCUUUUCAUGAAUUAAGUUCACCUACUAGAAGGGAAAUAAAAGAAAGGACAGAUUUACUGAGAAAAGUUUUGGAAGAUUUGAUUAAGAAAGAGUUGCAUACCAAAGAUGACAAUACCUAGAUCUAUUGCAUUAUGCCUAGCUAGGGGCAUUAAACAAUAGCGCUUGUUGGGAGGCAACCCAAUUUUAUUUUUAUGUUUUUUGUUUUGCUUCUGUUAUUGAAUAAAAUACACAUUAUUACCUAUGUUGUAAUUGUGUUUUGGUGUUUUAAUUAGUGUUUGAGCCAACUAAGACCUUUGGGAUGGCUUACGGUGAUAGUUGAUUUGAUCUUGCUGAAAAACAGAAACUUUUGCGCCUAGUAAAACAAUUUUGAAAAAUCACAGAAACGUGAUUUUGAUCUGAAUGUUUUACACAAGAUUGACAUACAAAUUGCCCACGCUUUCCUAAUUUUUUAUAAUUAUUGGAGUUACAGAAGUAUUCGAAGUUUACAGAUUACAACAAACUGUUCUGUUUUUGACAAAUUCUGUGGGUAGUAUAGGGGGGUAUGAACCAUGUAGAAGUUGGAAUACAAUAGAUAUUACACCAAUAUAAAUAAAAAAUGAGUUCACAACAGUACCAAAAGUGGUGAUUUAUUUUCUUAUACUAACGGAUCUCAUGAGUUUUCUGUUGAGUUUUGUGUCAUGAAGUUUUCAAGUUUUGGGUAAAGAUUUGAUGGACUAUGGAAUAAGAAGUGGCAAGAGCCUAAGAUUGGGGAUGCCCAAGGCACUCCAAGGUAAUAUUCAAGGACAACCAAGAGCCUAAGCUUGGGGAUGCCCCAGAAGGCAUCCCCUCUUUCGUCUUCAAUCCAUCGAUAAAUUUACUUGAGGCUAUAUUUUUAUUCACCACAUGAUAUGUGUUUUGCUUGGAGCGUCUUGUAUGAUAUGAGUCUUUGCUUUUUAGGUUGCCACCAUCAUCCUUGCUGUACACACCUUUUGAGAGGGACAUGCUUAAAUCGUGAAUUUAUUAGAAUACUCUAUGUGCUUCACUUAUAUCUUUUGAGCUAGGCAAUAUGCUCUAGUACUUCACUUAUAUCUUUUUAUUUUAUUUUAUAGAAAUUCUUGAACUCUCUUUCUUCACUUAUAUUAUUUUUAGAGUCUCUAAACAGCAUGGUAAUUUGCUUAGGUUAUGAAUUUAGUCCUAAUAUGAUGGGCAUCCAAGAGGGAUAUAAUAAAAACUUUCAUAUAAAGUGCAUUGAAUACUAUGAGAAGUUUGAUUCCUUAUGAUUAUUUUAGAUAUAAAAAUGGUGAUAUUAGAGUCAUGCUAGUGAGUAAUUGUGGAUGGUAGAAAUACUUGUGUUAAAUAUUGUGAUUCCCGUAGCAUGCACGUAUGGUGAACCGUUAUGUGAAGAAGUCGGGGCAUGAUUUAUUUAUUGAUUGUCUUCCUUAUGAGUGGCGGUCGGGGACGAGCGAUGGUCUUUUCCUACCAAUCUAUCCCCCUAGGAGCAUGCGUGUAGUACUUUUGAUAGUUAAUAGACUUUUGCAAUAAGUAUGUGAGUUCUUUAUGACUAAUGUUGAGUCCAUGGAUUAUACGCACUCUCACCCUUCCACCUUUGCUAGCCUCUCUAGUACCGCGCAAUUCUCGCCGAUGCAUUACACCCACCAUAUACCUUCCUCAAAACAGCCACCAUACCUACCUAUUAUGGCAUUUCCAUAGCCAUUCUGAGAUAUAUUGCCAUGCAACUUCCACCGUUCCGUUUUAUUAUGACACACACUAUCAUUGUCAUAUUGCUUUGCAUGAUCGUAAGAAAGCUAGCAUGAUGUUUUUAUGGCUUGUCUGUUUUUUAAUGUCAUUUGCUACGCUAGAUCAUUGCACAUCCCGGUACACCGCCGGAGGCAUUCAUAUCGAGUCAUAUUUUGUUCUAAGUAUCGAGUUGUAAUUCUUGAGUUGUAAGUAAAUAAAAGUGUGAUGAUCAUCAUUAUUAGAGCAUUGUCCCAUGUGAGGAAAAGAUGAUGGAAACUAUGAUUCCCUCACAAGUUGGGAUGACUCUCCGGACUUUAUGAAAAAUAAAAGAGGCCAAAGAAGCCCAAAUAAAAAAGUAGAGGCCAAAGAAGCCCACCAAAAAGGAAUAAUAAUAAUAAUAAUAAUAAUGAGAGAAAAGAGAGAAGGGACAAUGUUACUAUCCUUUUUCCACACUUGUGCUUCAAAGUAGAACCAUGAUCUUCAUGAUAGAGAGUAUCCUAUAUUGUCACUUUCAUAUACUAGUGGGAAUUUUUCAUUAUAGAACUUGGCUUGUAUAUUCCAAUGAUGGGCUUCCUCAAAUUGCCCUAGGUCUUCGUGAGCAAGCGAGUUGGAUGCACACCCACUUAGUUUCUUUUGAGCUUUCAUACACUUAUAGCUCUAGUGCAUCCGUUGCAUGGCAAUCCCUACUCACUCACAUUGAUAUCUAUUGAUGGGCAUCUCCAUAGCCCAUUGAUAUGCCUAGUUGAUGUGAGACUAUCUCCUUCCUUUUUGUCUUCUCCACAACCACCAUAUUCCGUUCCACCUAUAGUGCUAUAUCCAUGGCUCACGCUCAUGUAUUGCGUGAAAGUUGAAAAAGUUUGAGAACGUGAAAAGUAUGAAACAAUUGCUUGGCUUGUCAUCGGGGUUGUGCAUGAUUUAAUACUUUGUGUGAUGAAGAUGGAGCAUAGCCAGACUAUAUGAUUUUGUAGGGAUAACUUUCUUUGGCCAUGUUAUUUUGAGAAGACAUGAUUGCUUCAUUAGUAUGGUUGAAGUAUUAUUGUUUUUAUGUCAAUAUUAAAAUUUUGUUUUGAAUCUUAUGGAUCUGAAUAUUCAUGCCACAAUAAAUAAAAUUACAUGGAUAAAUAUGUUAGGUAGCAUUCCACAUCAAAAAUUCUGUUUUUAUCAUUUACCUACUCGAGGAGGAGCAGGAAUUAAGCUUGGGAUGCUUGAUACGUCUCUAACGUAUCUAUAUUUUUUAUUGUUCCAUGCUAUUAUAUUAUCUGUUUUGGAUGUUUUAUAUGCAUUAAUAUGCUAUUUUAUAUAUUUUUGGGACUAACCUAUUAGCCCAGAGCCCAGUGCCAGUUUCUGUUUUUUCCCUUGUUUUUGAGUUUCGCAGAAAAGGAAUAUCAAACGGAGUCCAAACGGAAUAAAAAUGUAUGAUGAUUGUCCUUGGACCAGAAGACACACGUAGGACUUGGAGACCAAGGAAAAGGAGCCCCGAAGUGACAGCAAGGGUGCAGGGCGCGCCCCCUGCCUUGUGGGUCCCUCGGAGCUCCUCUAACCCUAUUCUUCGGCCUAUAAAUUCCCAAAUAUUUCCAAACCACCAGAAGCGUCCACAAAAAAUACUUUUCUACUGCCGCAAGCCUCCGUUCCCGUGAGAUCCCAUCUUGGGGCCUUUUCCGGCGAUCUGUCGGAGAGGGAUUUGAUCACGGAGGGCAUCUACAUCAACCGUACUGCCCUUCCGAUGAAGCGUGAGUAGUUUACCUCAGACCUACGGGCCCAUAGCUAGUAGCUAGAUGGCUUAUUCUCUCUCUAUGAUCUUCAAUACCAAGUUCUCCUCGAUGUUCUUGGAGUUCUAUCCGAUGUAAUAUUCAUUUGCGGUGUGUUUGUCGAGAUCCGAUGAAUUGUGGAUUUAUGACCAGAUUAUCUAUGAAUAUUAUUUGAAUCUUCUCUGAAUUCUUAUAUGCAUGAUUUGAUAUCUUUUGUAUUUCUCUUCGAAUUAUCAGUUUGGUUUGGCCAACAAGAUUGGUAUUUCUUGCAAUGGGAGAGGUGCUUAGUUUUGGGUUCAAUCUUGCGGUGUCCUUACCUAGUGACAAAGUAGGGGUAGCGAGGCACGUAUUUCUAUUGUUGCCAUCAAGGAUAAAAAGAUGGGGGUUUCAUCAUAUUGCUUGAGUUUAUCCCUCUACAUCAUGUCAUCUUACUUAAUGCGUUACUCUGUUCUCUUGAACUUAAUACUCUAGAUGCAGGCAGGAGUCGGUCGAUGUGUGGAGUAAUAGUAGUAGAUGCAGAAUCGUUUCGGUCUACUUGACACGGACGUGAUGCCUAUAUGCAUAAUCAUUGCCUUGGAUAUCGUCAUAACUUUGCACUUUUCUAUCAAUUGCUCGACAUUAAUUUGUUCACCCACCAUAUUACUUGCCUUCAAGAAAGAAGCCUAUAGUGAAACCUGUGGCCCCCAUGUCUAUUUUCCCUUAUAUAUUUUCAGAUCUAUAAACCAAAAACCCAAAAAUAUCUUGCUACAAUUUAUUUACUUUUAUUUUGUUUUAUGUUUUAGUUAUCUUUUAUAUCUAUCUCUAUCAGAUCUCACCAUUGCAAUUGACCAUGAAGGGAUUGACAACCCCUUUAUCGUGUUGGGUGCAAGUGUUUGAUUGUUUGUGUAGGUGCAUAGAUUGGAGACUUGUUUGUGCCUCCUACUGGAUUGAUACCUUGGUUCUCUAACUGAGGGAAAUACUUAUCUCUGCUUUGCUGCAUCACCCUUUCCUCUUCAAGGGAAAAACAAACACAAGCUCAAGAAGUAGCAGGGAGGCACAAGGGAGUAGGAACCCAUCCAACUUUUGGCGCCUCCCCUCCCGUUACACCUACCUCUCCGCAACCGCUUGGCGAAGCCCUGCCGGAGUUCCACCAUAACUCCACCACCACGCCAUCGUGCUGCUGGACUAGAUCCCAUCUACCUCUCCCUCUCACUUGCUGGAUCAAGAAGAAGGAGACGUCAUUGAGCCGUACACGUGCAUACCUCGGAGGUGUCGUUUUUGCGGUGCUGGAUCGGAUUUGAUCGCCAAAAAAGUACGACUACGCCAACCAUGUUGAUUAGAAUGUUUGUGCUCUCGGUCUACAAGGGUAUGUAGACUCACUCCCACUCGUUUCUAGCAUCUAGUAGAUUAGACCUUGGAUGAAUUCAUUAUCUCGUAGAAUUUUUUUGUUUCCAUGCAACGAUCCCCAACAGUGGCAUCAAAGCCCCGUCUAUGCAUAGAUGCUUUGCAUGAGUAGAACACAAUUUUGUUGUGGGCAUUGAUGUUCAUGUUGCUACCCUCCCUUGUUAAUUUUGAUUUGGUGGCAUAGUGGGAUGAAGCGGCCCAGACCAACUUUACUUGUCCACGUAGAAGAGAACGGUUCCGCGAUUGACAUGUAACUUGUAUUGCAUAAAGCGACUGGCAGAUAUCCGACUCUCCCGCUAUAGUUAAAAUCUGAUUUGACAACGAUGGUCCUGAAAAGGUUAAAAGGCAACUUGUAUAUCACCGUUGUAGCUUUGCGUAGGUAAGAAUGAUUCUUAUAUGUUGCCCUUAGAAUAGCCAUGUAAAAGUAUGCAAGAACAAAGUGAGGACAUCUAACUUGUUUUUGCAGGGCAUGUGAUGUGGUAUGGCCAAGAUAUGAUAUGAUAUAUGUGAUGUACAAGAUGAUCAUGUUUUGUAAUAUUUCACGACUUGCAUGUCGUUGAGUACAUCUACCGGGAAGAGCCAUAUGGUUGUCUUAAUAUAUUGUAUGACAUGCGUGUCAAUAAGUAAACAUCAUGUAAUUGCUUUAGUUUAUCGCUAUGAGUUGGCAAUAGUUGUAGAAGCAAUAGUUGGUGGAGACAACCAUAUGAUGGCACCAGGGACCUAGGUGCCAUGCUGGUGGUGAUGGAGAUCAUGCCGGUGCUUUGGAGAUGGUGAUCAAAGGCAUAAGAAGAAAACGAGCAUAUCAUGUCACAUAUUGCUUGCAUGUGAUGUUUGUCUUUUUAUGCAUCUUACUGUUAAAAAACUCUUGCGAUUCAGCGAUUUAUCGCUACUCAUGGGGUGACCGUUAAGAUUAUGCCUUAUCUUCACUAUUUAUCGUUUGGAUCGAUUUAUCACUCUAACAAGCGAUUUAUCAGGAAUAUACCGAUAAAUUAGGCCCAUUCCUAACAUUAUGUUUGCAAAAAGUAUGUUUAUUUGUGUUUUGUGGACCUUGUUAUGCAAUAUGUACUAUUGUCCUAUUUUGUUUGUCAUUAUACGAGGAUUCAAAGGCUAGGAAUCAUGGUAACACGUCUAUCCAAUAUUGUUUUGGUGUUGAAUAUAGCCAUAUUUUAGUGUUGGGAACCCGGGAUUUGCAAAAAAAUGGUUGAUUAAUACUCGACCGAUAAAAUCGAUUAAUCCCGAUUUCGAUUAAUCUCUAAUCUCCAGCUGACCGAGACGCUAACGAUAAGCGAUAUCCUCAACAUUAGUUUGCUUAGAUCGCGACAGUAGCAUUAUAAGAUGACCCCUCACACUAAAUAUCAAGACAAAAGUGUUCUCCUAUAGUAUGCACCGUUGAGAAAUUAAGUGCGUCAUUUUGAAGCACUUCGUGAUGAUCAGGUGUGAUAAAUUCUACGUUCACAUACAACGGGUGUAAACCAAUUUUACACAUGUAGAAAUACUUUGGUUAACUUGACGAGCCUGGCAUGUACAUACAUGGUCUCAGAACACAUCGAACCGAAGGUUAAACAUGAGUCAUAUGGAUGAUAUGAUCAAUAUGUUGAUGUUCACCAUUGAAACUACCCCAUCUCAUGUUGAUGAUCGGACUUGGGUUAGUGGAUUUGGACCAUGUAUCACUAAACAACUUGAGGGAUGUUUAUUUAAGAGGGAGUUCAUUAGUAAUUUGAUUAAUUUAAACUAAUUAUCAUGAACAUAAUCUAAAUCUCUUUGCAAAUAUGUUGUAGAUCAAUGGCUUGCGUUAUAGCUCCGCUCAAUUUCAACACGUUCCUAAAGAAAGAAAAACUAAAAGAUGACGGAAUAAACUUUGCGGACUGGCUCUGUAAUCUAAGGAUUAUCCUCACUACUACACAGAAGGCUUAUGUCCUUGAUGCCCAUCUCGGUGCGCCACGCCUCCCGACACGUCUAUAUAAUGUUGUGAACGUCUGGCGGACAUAGGCUGAUGACUACUCGAUAGUUCAAUGCGUCAUGUUGUACGUCGAAGAAUCAAGGCUCAAAAAACGUUUUGAGCACAACGGGGCAUAUGAGAUGAUUGAGGAGACCAAAAUGGCAUUUCAGGCUCACGCCCGUGUUGAGAGGUAUGAUGCCUCAGACAAAUUCUUUAGAUGUAACAUGAGCAUUAGCGAGCACAUACUCAAAAUGUCUAGGUACGCUGAUACGUCUCCGUCGUUUCUACUUUUCCAAACACUUUUGCCCUUGUUUUGGACUCUAACUUGCAUGAUUUGAAUGGAACUAACCCGGACUGACGCUGUUUUCAGCAGAAUUGCCAUGGUGUUAUUUUUGUGCAGAAACAAAAGUUCUCAGAAUGACCUGAAACUUCACGGAGAUUAUUUUUGGAAAAUAUAAAAAAUAUUGGCAAAAGAAUCAAGGCCAGGGGUCCCACACCCUUUCCACGAGGGUGGGGGCGCGCCCCUGCCUCGUGGGCCCCCUGGAGCUCCACCGACCUCAACUCCAACUCCAUAUAUUCGUGUUCGGGGUGAAAAAAUCAGAGAGAAAGAUUCAUCGCGUUUUACGAUACGGAGCCGCCGCCAAGCCCUAAACACUCUCGGGGGGGCUGAUCUGGAGUCCGUUCGGGGCUCCAGAGAGGGGAAUCCGUCACCAUCGUCAUCAUCAACCAUCCUCCAUCACCAAUUUCAUGAUGCUCACCGCCAUGCGUGAGUAAUUCCAUCGUAGGCUUGCUGGACGGUGAUGGGUUGGAUGAGAUUUAUCAUGUAAUCGAGUUAGUUUUGUUAGGGUUUGAUCCCUAGUAUCCACUAUGUUCUGAGAUUGAUGUUGCUAUGACUUUGCUAUGCUUAAUGCUUGUCACUAGGGCCCGAGUGCCAUCAUUUCAGAUCUGAACCUAUUAUGUUUUCAUGAAUAUAUGUGAGUUCUUGAUCCUAUCUUGCAAGUCUAUAGUCACCUACUAUGUAUUAUGAUCCGGCAACCCCGAAGUGACAAUAAUCGGGACCACUCCCGGUGAUGACCGUAAUUUGAGGAGUUCAUGUAUUCACUAUGUGUUAAUGCUUUGGUCCGGUACUCUAUUAAAAAGAGGCCUUAAUAUCCCUUAGUUUCCAUUAGGACCCCGCUGCCACGGGAGGGUAGGACAAAAGAUGUCAUGCAAGUUCUUUUCCAUAAGCACAUAUGACUAUAUUCGGAAUACAUGCCUACAUUAUAUUGAUGAAUUGGAGCUAGUUCUGUGUCACCCUAUGUUAUGAUUGUUACAUGAUAAACCGCAUCCGACAUAAUUCUCCAUCACCGAUCCAAUGCCUACGAGUUUUUCACAUAUUGUUCUAUGCUUAUUUACUUUUCCGUUGCUACUGUUACAAUCACUACAAAACCCAAAAAUAUUACUUUUGCUGCUGUUACCGUUACUUCCAUAUUACUUUGCUGCAGGUACUAAAUUAUCCAGGUGUGGUUGAAUUGAAAACUCAACUGCUAAUACUUGAGAAUAUUCUUUGGCUCCCCAUGUGUCGAAUCAAUAAAUUUGGGUUGAAUACUCUACCCUCGAAAACUGUUGCGAUCCCCUAUACUUGUGGGUUAUCAAGACUAUUUUCUGGCGCCGUUGUCGGGGAGCAUAGCUCUAUUCUUUGAGUUACUUGGGAUUUAUAUCUGCUGGUCACUAUGAAGAACUUGUAAGACGAUAAAACAAAAAUUUAUCCCUCAACUACGAGGGGAGGUAAGGAACUGCCAUCUAGCUCUCAACUUGAUUCACCUUCUGUUUUGAGUAAGCUUGCGACACCUAAACCUGCUUCUGCUAUUAAUUUUGAUAUGUCGCAUGUUAUUGAUGAUGCCACUUCUGCUAUGCAUGAUACUUAUGAUGAAACUACUUCUAUGCUUGAUACUACUGCGCCACUUGGUGAAUUUCUUGACGAACAACUUGCUAGGGCUAGAGAGAAUGAAAUUAUUGAAACUGAUAAUAUUGACGAAAGUGAUGAUGAAGAUUCUCCCCCUAAAUAUGAAUUGCCUGUUGUGCCUGAGGGCUAUGUUAUGGAUGAAGAAACUGCUAGAGACUUUCUUGCUUGCAAUGAUAGAAGUGAUCUUAAGAAAUUAUUAGCUAAGCUUAAACAAAAAACUUUGAAUGCUAGAAUGAAAUAUGAUCCUGCUUAUGCUACUUCACCUAUCUUUGUUACUGAUAAGGAUUAUGAAUUCUCUGUUGAUCCUGAUAUAAUUACUUUGGUUGAAUCUGAUCCUUUUUAUGGCUAUGAAUCUGAAACUGUUGUGGCACAUCUCACUAAAUUAAAUGAUAUAGCCACCCUGUUCACUAAUGAUGAGAGAACUCGCUACUUCUAUAUCCUUAAAAUAUUUUCGUUCUCAUUAAAGGGUGAUGCUAAGAUAUGGUUUAAUUCUCUUGAUCCUGGUUGUGUGUGUAGUCCCCAGGAUAUGAUUUAUUACUUCUCUGCUAAAUAUUUCCCUGCUCAUAAGAAACAAGCUGCUUUAAGGGAUAUAUACAACUUUGUGCAAACUGAAGAAGAGAGUCUCCCACAAGCUUGGGGGAGGCUUCUCCAAUUACUUAAUGCUUUGCCUAAUCAUCCUCUUAAGAAAAAUGAAAUACUUGAUAUCUUUUAUAAUGGACUAACUGAUGCUUCCAGAGACCACAUGGAUAGUCGUGCUGGUUCUGUUUUCUGGGAAAGAACACCAGAUGAAGCUGAAAUUCUAUUGAAUAAUAUGUUGACAAAUGAAAAUAAUUGGACACUUCCUGAACCAACUCCUAAGCCAACUCCAAAGAAGAGGGGUGUUCUAUUUCUCAGUCCUGAAGAUAUGCAAGAAGCAAAGAAAUCUAUGAAAGAAAUGGGUAUUAAAGCUGAAGAUGUUAAGAAUUUACCUCCUAUUGAAGAAAUACAUGGUCUUAAUUUACCGCCUGUUGAAGAAAUAUAUGAUCCUAAUCCAUUACCUAUUGAAGAAACUCAUGGUCUUGAUAACCCGACACAGGUAGUAAAGGUAAAUUCUCUCUAUAGAUAUGAUAAAGUUGAAAUCCCUCCUACUAAGUUUGCUAGCCAAUGUUUGGAUGAGUUUGAUAACUUUAUGGUUAAGCAAGAAGAUUUUAAUGCUUAUUUUGGUAGACAAUUAAAACAAAAUGCUUAUAUGAUUGAACACUUGAGUGAUUAUAUGUCUAAAGUUAAAGGUGAACUUAAACUCAUUAGUAAACAUGCUUCUAUGGUUACCACUCAAGUAGAACAAGUACUUAAAGCUCAAAAUGAUUUGCUCAAUGAAUUAAAUAGUAAGAAUAAUGAUUUUGCUGUUCGAGUGGCUACUAGAACUGGUAGAAUGACUCAGGAACCUUUGUAUCCUGAAGGCCACCCUAAGAGAAUUGAGCAGGAUUCUCAGAGAAAUAAUAUUGAUGCACCUAGUCCUUCUAAAAAGAAGAAAAAUAAAAAAUGAUAGGACUUUGCAUGCUUCUAGUGAACCUAUUCCUGAACCACCUGAGAAUCCAAAUGAUAUUUCUAUUUCUGAUGCUGAAACACAAUCUGGUAAUGAACAUGAACCUAGUGAUAAUGUUAAUGAUGAUGUUCAUGUUGAUGCUCAACCUAGUAAUGAUAAUGAUGUAGAAAUUGAACCCGCUGUUGAUCUUGAUAACCCACAAUCAAAGAAUCAACGUUAUGAUAAAAGAGACUUUGUUGCUAGGAAGCAUGGUAAAGAAAGGGAGCCGUGGGUUCAGAAACCCAUGCCUUUUCCUCCCAAACCAUCCAAGAAAAAGGAUGAUGAGUAUUUUGAGCGCUUUGCUGAAAUGAUUAGACCUAUCUUUUUGCGUAUGCGAUUAAUUGAUAUGCUCAAAAUGAAUCCUUAUGCCAAGUAUAGGAAAGAAAUUGUUACUAAUAAAAGAAAGAUACCGGAAGCUAAAAUUUCCAACAUGCUUGCUAAUUAUACUUUUAAGGGUGGAAUACCUAAGAAACUUGGAGAUCCAGGAGUACCCACUAUACCAUGCUCCAUUAAAAGAAAUUAUGUUAGAACUGCUUUAUGUGAUCUUGGAGCCGGUGUUAGUGUUAUGCCUCUCUCUUUAUAUCGUAGACUUGAUUUGAAUAAGUUGACACCUACUGAAAUAUAUUUGCAAAUGGUUGAUAAAUCAACUGCUAUACCUGUCGGUAUUUGUGAGGAUGUGCCUGUUGUGGUCGCGAACGUUACUAUUUUAACGGACUUUGUUAUUCUUGAUAUUCCCGAGGACGAUAGUAUGUCUAUUAUUUUUGGAAGACCUUUUUUGAAUACUGCAGGGGCUAUUAUUGAUUGCAACAAAGGCAAUGUCACUUUUCAUGUUAAUGGUAAUGAGCAUACGGUACACUUUCCGAGGAAACAACCUCAAGUCCACAGUAUCAAUGCUAUUGGAAAAAUUCCAUCGAUUAUCAUUGGAGGUUUUGAAUUUCCUCUUCAUACUGUCAAAAAGAGAUAUGAUAUUCUUAUUAUUGGGGAUGUGCAUAUCCCCGUUGAGGUAACAUAGUGUUAUUCGAAAUUUCUCCGGUUCCAUGUUAUUCGGAAUGAGUUUGUUAACAAGACUUGAUUAACCUUGUUAGUGGAUUCCUUUUGAUGAGCAUGAGAUGGAUGAAGUUAGAAAGCACAACCUUCUGUACUCUCUCUUUACUUUCUGUUAUUUAGUUCAAAUAAAGUAAAAUUAGUAUUUUCUGUCAGUUUUGUGAAUUAUCCGUGCAAUAUAAAAAUACCCCAAAAAUAAAAGUUCUCCAAAUGCCCUGAAAUUGAAAUAUGAUUUUUUCUGGAAUAUUUGAGAAUAUUUGGCACUGAGAACACAGCAGGGGGAGCGAGCACCUGUGAACGAGGGUCCAGGGCGCGCCCACCCCCUGGGCGCGCCCCCUGCCUCGUGGGCCCAUGGUGGCUCCCCUCCACUUAUUCUAGCGACCACACACUCCUUCUUCCUCCCAAAAAAAUCACCAACCAGCUCAAGCACGAGUUCUAGCUCAUUUUGCUGCGAUUUUCGAUCUCCUUGCUCAAAGCACCUCUCACAAAACUGCUUUGGGGGAUUGUUCCUUGGUAUGUGACUCCUCCAUUGGUCCAAUUAGUUUUUGUUCUAGUGCUUUAUUCAUUGCAAAUUUGUGCUGCCUAGGUGACCAUGUUCUUGAGCUUGCAUGUCAAAUUUAUAUGGUUUCAAGUAGUUCUAAUGCACGAUAUGAGCUCUAAGCACUUGUAUGAGCUGUUGCUAUCAAUUUUGUUGAGUUUGCUUCGCUUUUAUUUGAAGUUACUAAAAAUUUCAGAAAUUUUCAGAAAAUGAUAAAGAGAUUUUUGAGGGGCUCAUCGAGCCAAAGCUCGAAGGAAAACAAAGUGAAGAAGAAGAGAGGCCCAAAUAUAAUCUGCCUCGUACCACGGAGGUUCGGCCGUGUGAAUGGCCUUGUGAUGAUUUCUUGAGAGCAGCCGGGAUUUAUGAUGAUUUUUAUGAAUUGGCUGAGAAUGCAGGCCUCACCGACUUCCUCCACGACCAAAGCGAACAGUAUCUCUUACUCACCAAUACCUUUGUGCAAAAUUUUCAUUUCCAUUCUAGGAGGUCACCACCUACAGUGGAUUUUCAUUUAUAUGAUGAGUAUAAGGAGAUGACCCUUCAUGAAUUCUGUAGAUUUUGCAAGUUACCUUUUCCGGGUAUCAUAGAGGAACCACAUAGUAACGAUGUGGAGGGGUUUAUUGAUACAAUUGUUGUAGGGGAAACGAGGAAGGUUUCCGACGCACGAAAAUCACUAGCAUACAUUUUCCUGUUCUAUGUUACUUUGCUAUAUUUGCUAGUAGAUGCAUAAUUGGUCGCGGAAACUGUGGAAACUUGAGUGUCCCUGAUAUUAUUAUUUUGUUUCAUGCCUUGUUUCGUGAUGAUACAUUUAGUAUGGGCGCCAUUGUUGUGAUAACCCACAAGUAUAGGGGAUCAAUUGUAGCCUCUUUCGAUAAGUAAGAGUGUCGAACCCAACGAGGAGCUAAAGGUAGAACAAAUAUUCCCUCAAGUUCUAUCGACCACUGAUACAACUCUACGCACGCUUAACGUUCGCUUUACCUAGAACAAGUAUCAAACUAGAAGUACUUUGUAGGUGUUUUUGGAUAGGUUUGCAAGAUAAUAAAGAGAGCGUAAAUAAAAACUAGGGGCGGUUUAGAUGAGGACACAACUAAGUUAGUAGAGAGAUUUUUGUCACGAGAAAGUUAUUUGUCCCUAGGCAAUCGAUAACUAGACCGGUAAUCAUUAUUGCAAUUUUAUUUGAGGGAGAGGCAUAAGCUAACAUACUUUCUCUACUUGGAUCAUAUGCACUUAUGAUUGGAACUCUAGCAAGCAUCCGCAACUACUAAAGAUCAUUAAGGUAAAACCCAACCAUAGCAUUAAAGCAUCAAGUCCUCUUUAUCCCAUACGCAACAACCCCCUUACUCGGGUUUGUGUUUCAGUCACUCACGCAACCCACUAUAAGCGAAUCAUGAACGUAUUGCAACACCCUACAGCGGGGAUCCCUCACACUUGCGCAACAUGGAGAGCACCAUAGGACAGCACCAAUAAUAAAACAUGCAACUCAAACCAAUCUUGAUCAUCAAAUAACCCAUAGGACAAAACAGAUCUACUCAAACAUCAUAGGAUAGCCAUACAUCAUUGGGAAAUAAUAUAUAGCGUUGAGCACCAUGUUUAAGUAGAGAGUACAGCGGGUAAAAGAGGGGUUACACCGCUGCAUAGAGGGGGGAAGAGUUGGUGAUGAUGGCGGUGAAGUUGUUGGUGAAGAUUGCGGUGAUGAUGAUGGCCCCCGGUGGCACUCCGGCGCCACCGGAAGCGAGGGAGAGAGAGCCCCCCUCCUUCUUCUUCUUCUUCUUCUUCCUUGACCUCCUCCCUAUAUGGGAGAAGGGUUUCCCCUCUAGUUCUUGGUCUCCAUGGCAUGGGAGGGGCGAGAGCCCCUCCGAGAUUGGAUCUGUCUCUCUCUGUUUUCUGUGUUCUCUUAUUCUGCCCUUUCACCGUUUCGUAUAUAUAUGGAGAUCCGUAACUCCGAUUGGAUUGAAACCUUCGCUGAGAUUUUUUUUCCGAAAAUUAGCUUUCUUGCGGCCGAAGUAGAGCAGCAACCGCCUUACGGGGGGCCCACAAGGGGGGCAGGCGUGCCCCCUGCCUCGUUCCCCCCUCGGGCACCGUCUCGCGUUGAUUCUUCCUCCCAUAUUCUCCAAAUAUUCCAAAAAUAUUCUCCGUCUGUUUUUAUCCCGUUUGGAUUCCGUUUGAUAUGGGGUUUCUGCGAAACAUAAAACAUGCAAUAAACAGGAACUGGCACUGGGCACUAGAUCAAUAUGUUAGUCCCAAAAAUAGUAUAAAAAGUUUCCAAAAGUAUAUGAAAGUUGUAUAAUAUUGGCAUGGAGCAAUAAAAAAUUAUAGAUAUGACGGAGACGUAUCAGCAUCCCCAAGCUUAAUUCCUGCUCGUCCUCGAGUAGAUAAAUGAUAAAAAAGAUAAUUUUUGAUGUGGAAUGCUACCUAGCAUAAUCUUGAUCAUGUAUCUAAUCAUGGAAUGAAUAUUAAGACAUGAGUGAUUCAAAGCAAUAGUCUAUCAUUUGACAUUAAGACAAUAAUACUUCAAGCCUACUAAUAAAGCAAUCAUGUCUUUUAAAAAUAACAUGGCCAAAGAAAGUUAUCCCUACAAAAUCAUAUAGUCUGGCUAUGGUCCAUCUUCACCACACAAAAUAUUCAAAUCAUGCACAACCCCGAUGACAAGCCAAGCAGUUGUUUCAUACUUUUGACGUUCUCAAACCUUUGAACUUUCACGCAAUACAUGAGCGUGAGCCAUGGACAUAGCACUAUAGGUGGAAUAGAAUGGUGGUUGUGGAGAAGACAAAAAGGAGAAGAUAGUCUCACAUCAACUAGGCGUAUCAACGGGCUAUGGAGAUGCCCAUCAAUAGAUAUCAAUGUGAGUGAGUAGGGAUUGCCAUGCAACGUAUGCACUAAGAGCUAUAAGUGUAUGAAAGCUCAGACUGAAAACUAAGUGGGUGUGCAUCCAACUUGCUUGCUCAUGAAGACCUCGGGCGUUUGAGGAAGCCCAUCAUCGGAAUAUACAAGCCAAUUUCUAUAAUGAAAACUCCCACUAGUAUAUGAAAGUGAUAACUCAAGAGACUCUCUAUAUGAAGAACAUGGUGCUACUCUAAAGCACAAGUGUGGUAAAAUGAUAGUAACAUUGCCCCUUCUCUCUUUUUCUCUCAUUUUUUAUUUUCUCUCAUUUUUUUAUUUUUUUAUUUUUUGGUGGGCUUCUUUGGCCUCUUUUUUAUUUGGGCUUCUUUAGCCUCUUUUUUUUGUAAAGUUCGAAGUCUCAUCCCGACUUGUGGGGGAAUCAUAGUCUCAAUCAUCCUUUCCUCACUGGGGCAAUGCACUAAUAAUGAUGAUCAUCACACUUUUUAUUUACUUACAACUCAAUAUUACAACUCGAUACUAGAACAAAGAUAUGACUCUAUAUGAAUGCCUCCGGCGGUGUCUCGGGAUGUGCAAUGAUCUAGCGUAGCAAAGAUAUCAACGGACAAGCCAUGAAAAUAUCAUGCUAGCUAUCUUACGAUCAUGCAAAGCAAUAUGACAAUGAAUGCUCGAGUCAUGUAUAUGAUGAUGAUGGAAGUUGCAUGGCAAUAUAUCUCGGAAUGGCUAUGGAAAUGCCAUGAUAGGUAGGUAUGGUGGCUGUUUUGAGGAAGGUAUAUGGUGGGUUUAUGGUACCGGCGAAAGUUGCACGGUACUAGAGAGGCUAGCAAUGGUGGAAGGGUGAGAGUGCGUAUAAUCCAUGGACUCAACAUUAGUCAUAAAGAACUCACAUACUUAUUGCAAAAAUCUAUUAGUCAUCCAAACAAAGUACUACGCGCAUGCUCCUAUGGGGAUAGAUUGGUAGGAAAAGACCAUCGCUCGUCCCCGACCGCCACUCAUAAGGAAGACAAUCAAUAAAUAAAUCAUGCUCCGACUUCAUCACUUAACGGUUCAUCAUACGUGCAUGCUACGGGAAUCACAAACUUCAACACAAGUAUUUCUACAAUCCACAACUACCCACUAGCAUCACUCUAAUAUCACCAUAUUUAUAUCGCAAAACUAUUGCAAGGAAUCAAACAUAUCAUAUUCAGUGAUCUACAAGUUUUAUGUAGGAUUUUAUGACUAACCAUGUGAAUGACCAAUUCCUGUCAACUCUCUAAAUAGAUAUAAGUGAAGCAAGAGAGUUUAAUUCUUUCUACAAAAGAUAUGCCCACGCUCUAACAAAUAUAAGUGAAGCAAAAGAGCAUUCUACAAAUGGCGGUUUUCUAUGUAAAGAGAAACAGGCAAUCCAAACUUCAAAUGAUAUAAGUGAAGCACAUGAAGCAUUCUAUAAAGCCAUACUCAAAGAAUAUAAGUGAAGUGCAAAGAGCAUUCUACAAAUCAACCAAGGACUAUAUCAUACCAGCAUGGUGCAUAAAAGAAAAAUGAAAACUAAAGCAAAAGACGCUCCAAGAUUUGCACAUAUCGCAUGAACGAAACGAAUCCGAAAACAUACCGAUACUUGUUGAAGAAAGAGGGGAUGCCUUCCGGGGCAUCCCCAAGCUUAGACGCUUGAGUCUCCUUGAAUAUUUACUUGGGGUGCCUUGGGUAUCCCCAAGCUUGAUCUCUUGCCUCUCCUCCUUAUCCUCAUAUCGAAACAUCCUCGAUCUUCGAACACUUCAUCCACACAAAGCUUCAACAGAAAACUUGGUAAGAUCCGUUCGUAUAAUAAAGCAAAUCACUACUCUAAGUACUGUUGCAAACCAAUUCAUAUUUUGUUUUUGCAUUGUGUCUACUGUAAUGUAACUUUUUCAUGGCUUAAUCCACUGAUAUAAAUCGAUAGUUUCAUCAAAACAAGCAAACUAUGCAUCAAAAACAGAAUCUGUCUAAAACAGAAUAGUCUGUAAUAAUAUGAACAUUCACCAUACUUAUUAUACUUGAAAAAUUAUACCAAAAUUAGUAAAAUAAACAAUUUUUAAAUCAAGAUAGUGCAAAAAGAAUCAGAACCAUUUGACCUUCCAGUAAAAAAUGUAAAAUCGCGCACUACAGCCCAAGUUUCUGUCAUGCACCGUACAAACCAACAAGCAUUGUAAACAUCCUAAAGGCAAACCUUGGCACAUUAUUUUUAUAAUACAAUGGAAUUGUACAAGGGGAUAAUUAUUUUUGUUGAAAAGUUUCUGUAAUCAGGAUUCACAAAGUUUCCGUGAGCAUGAACAAAGUUCAAGGCUAGCUCCCACUUCAACAAUGCUCGUCUUUCUCACUUUCGCUUUUCUUUUUGAAAAGUUUCGGGUUCCCCUCUUUAUUUUUUUGUUUUUAAACUAUAUAAAAGCACUCAACAGAAAUAAAUGACUCUCUAAAACUUCCGGGUUGUCUCCCUGGCAGCGCUUUCUUUAAAACCAUUAAGCUAGGCAUAUAGUGCUCAAGUAGUGAAUCCACCCGGAUCCCAAGGUAUAUCAAAGCCAAUUUUAAUUAGCAAUGAUUUGGCAUUUAGUAGUGAGCACAAGGCAAUGAUACGUCUCCAACGUAUCUAUAAUUUUUUAUUGUUCCAUGCUAUAUUAUAUUAUGUUUUGGACAUUAAUGGCUUUAUUAUACACUUUUAUAUUAUUUUUGGGACUAACCUAUUAACCGGAGGCCUAGCCCAGAAUUGCUGUUUUUUUGCCUAUUUCAGAGUUUCACAGAAAAAGAAUAUCAAACGGAGUCCAAACGGAAUGAAACCUUCGGGAACGUGAUUUUUGGAACGAACGUGAUCGAGAUGACUUGGACCCUACGUCAAGACAUCAACCAGGAAGGCACGAGGUAGGGGGUGCGCCUACCCCCCAGGCGCGCCCUCCACCCUCGUGGGCCCCACGUUGCUCCACCGACGUACUUCUUCCUCCUAUAUAUACCAACGUUCCCCCAAACUACCAGAUACGGAGCCAAAAACCUAAUUCCACCGCCGCAACCUUCUGUACCCGUGAGAUCCCAUCUUGGGGCCUUUUCCGGAGCUCCGCCGGAGGGGGCAUCGAUCACGGAGGGCUUCUACAUCAACACCAUAGCGUCUCCGAUGAUGUGUGAGUAGUUUACCUCGGACCUUUGGGUCCAUAGUUAUUAGCUAGAUGGCUUCUUCUCUCUCUUUGGAUCUCAAUACAAAGUUCUCCACGAUUCUCGUGGAGAUCUAUUCGAUGUAAUCUUCUUUUGCGGUGUGUUUGUUGAGACCGAUGAAUUGUGGGUUUAUGAUCAAGUUUAUCUAUGAACAAUAUUUGAAUCUUCUCUGAAUUCUUUUAUGUAUGAUUGGUUAUCUUUGCAAGUCUCUUCGAAUUAUCAGUUUGGUUUGGCCUACUAGAUUGAUCUUUCUUGCAAUGGGAGAAGUGCUUAGCUUUGGGUUCAAUCUUGUGGUGUCCUUUCCCAGUGACAGUAGGGGCAGCAAGGCAUGUAUUGUAUUGUUGCCAUCGAGGAUAACAAGAUGGGGUUUAUAUCAUAUUGCAUGAGUUUAUCCCUCUACAUCAUGUCAUCUUACUUAAAGCAUUACUCUGUUCUUUUGAACUUAAUACUCUAGAUGCAUGCUGGAUAGCGGUCGAUGUGUGGAGUAAUAGUAGUAGAUGCAGGCAGGAGUCGGUCUACUUGUCGCAGACGUGGUGCCUAUAUACAUGAUCAUACCUAGAUAUUCUCCUAACUAUGCUCAAUUCUGUCAAUUGCUCAACAGUAAUUUGUUCACCCACCGUAAUACUUAUGCUCUCGAGAGAAGCCACUAGUGAAACCUAUGGCCCCGGGUCUAUUUUCCAUCAUAUUAAUCUUCCAACACUUAGCUAUUUUCAUUGCCUUUUAUUUUACUUUGCAUCUUUAUUAUAAAAAUACCAAAAAUAUUAUCUUAUCAUAUCUAUCAGAUCUCACUCUCGUAAGUGACCGUGAAGGGAUUGACAACCCCUUUAUUGUGUUGGUUGCGAGGAUUUAUUUGUUUGUGUAGGUGCGAGGUACUCGUGUGUGGCCUCCUACUGGAUUAAUACCUUGGUUCUCAAAAACUGAGGGAAAUACUUACGCUGCUUUACUGCAUCACCCUUUCCUCUUCAAGGGAAAACCAACGCAGUGCUCAAGAGGUAGCAAGAAGGAUUUCUGGCGCAGUUGUCUGGGAGGCUUACGCCAAGUCAAGUCAAGAUUUGAUCUCCCGUCAACGAGCCAUUUCUGGCGCCGUUGCCGGGGAGUCUACGCAAAAGUCAACAUACCAAGUACCCAUCACAAACCCUUAUCUCCCGCAUUACAUUAUUUGCCAUUUGCCUCUCGUUUUCCUCUCCCCCACUUCACCCUUGCUGUUUUAUUCGCCCUCUCUUUUUUGUGUGCCUCUUUUUCGCUUGCUUGUCACUAUGGCUCUACCUAGAUCUAGUGAUCUUUACCUUAAAAGGUUAGAAGAUAUCGAAAGCAACGUCGGGAGUUUUAUGGUUUUACAAUUUGAGCAUAAUAAUUUCUUUAGGAACGAGCUUAAGGAACAAAAAAGCUUUAUGGGUUACAUGAAUAAAGAGCUCGAUGAUAUGUCUAAAGAAUUUUACAGUUUGAAAUCUCAGAUUGCUCAUCUAGAGAAGUUAAUAGCUGAAGUUUCGAAUAAGCAGGCCACCUUAGUCAAUAAGAUGGCCGCUAAGCCCGAAAAUUUCUAUGAAAAUAAAGAUGAAGAUCUAAAAGUUAUUGAUGUGUCCCCUAUUAAAUCUUUGUUUUGCAAUAUGAAUCUUGAUAAUGAUGGGACUGAAUAUGAUCCACCUUUACCUAGAAGGCGUUCCAAAAAUUCGGAGUUUUUAGAUCUUGAUGCAAAAAUUGGUAAAAGUGGGAUUAAAGAGAUCAAAGCUCUUGAUAUUAAUGAACCCACUAUUUUGGAUUUCAUGGAAUUUAAUUAUGAUAAUUGCUCUUUGAUAGAUUGUAUUUCCUUGUUGCAAUCCGUGCUAAAUUCUCCACAUGCUUAUAGUCAACAUAAAGCUUUUACUAAACAUAUCGUUGAUGCUUUGAUGCAAUCUUAUGAAGAAAAACUUGAGUUGGAAGUUUCUAUCCCUAGAAAACAUUAUGAUGAGUGGGAACCUACUAUUAAAUUAAAAUUAAAGAUCAUGAAUGCUAUGCUUUGUGUGAUUUUGGUGCUAGUGUUUCCACGAUUCCAAAAACUUUGUGUGAUUUGCUAGGUUUCCGUGAUUUUGAUGAUUGCUCUCUAAACUUGCACCUUGCGGAUUCCACCAUUAAGAAACCUAUGGGAAGAAUUAAUGAUGUUCUUUGUAGCGACCAGACCUCAAAUGGCCUGUGCUGCUGUGCACCAGUGUCAUCCCUGGAUCAGUAAUGCUGACACGCACAGUACAAAUGGAGGAUUUAUAACAGAGUAGCAAUCACACACUUAUUACAUCGAAUAUCUCUGAAGAGAUUAAGUAUGAUAAACAUGGCUUAAGGCCAUCUAAUAACGAUAACAGCGGAAGACUUGGAAGAUAAGUGAGUCCAUCAACUCCAGCGGCAUCACUGAGUAUAAGACCACGACCUAAGGCACCUUACUCGUCGUCUGAAAAGUCUGCAACAUGAAACGUUGCAGCCCGAAACGGGUCAGCACAUAGAAUAUGCUGGCAAAGCAACACAUAGAGAACAAUGAACAAUGAUAAGGCUAUACUAUAUGCAUAUAUGGCUGGUGGAAAGGCUCUAUGGUUAAUGUUUUUGCGAAAAGCCAAUUUUAUCCUACUGCAAAGGAAUAAAUUUUAUUUAACUAUCAUGGUGGUUGAAACAUUGAGAAGGUACCUCCAACUCAAUCCCAAUUAAGUAACAUCAUUAACCCAACAAAAUUAAUUAUAAGUAUCACGGUGAUGAGAUUCAAAUGAUAAUCCAGAUACUAGAUACUCAAGUUGUCCAUAACCGGGGACACGGCUAAUCAUGAUCAGUUUGUACACUCUGCAGAGGUUUGUGCACUUUUCCCCACAAGACUCGAUCGCCUCCGCUUGAUUCUCGCACUGCAUGUUGUUUGAGAAACGGAUGACCGAGACACAGUCUUUCAGAAACAGUCACUCUCUACUCUGGAUGGACCGGUACACCUACUUUCCCCUACAUCUGCUAGUCCACCUCUUCAAGAGAUCCUGUAACCUACUCAGCUAUGCUAGAGCCCAUAAUAGCUUGCGGCUGCACACGGAAGUUUCUAGCAUGAAUAAUCUUAUGAUCCCUUUGAGCCUGGGUGGCGGACCUUAUACAUACAGACAACACUGGGUUCUCCAGGUGCCUCAAUCCACCCAGAUGUGAGUUUUAGUUGCCACCUUAAGUUUAACCAUUAAUUAACAUCUCACAUCUGUCAUGAAUAUCUCUCAAACCCAAUCCACGUCUACGAGCAUAGCAUGGCAUAUAAUAGCAACGUAGAAGUAACUCCCAAGGGUUUGAUAUAGUAAAGCAGGUAAUAGGUACUACCUCAACUACUUCCCAAUACCCACAGUUUAAUUAGACCCUAAUCAUGCAAUGUGUUUGAGGAAUAGAUCUAAUGCAAUAAAAACUGGGUAUGAACGGGGUAUGAUCAAAGUGUUACUUGCCUUGCUGAUGAUCCGCAAAACCUAGCGAGUCGAAGUAACAAGCGGCACACUCCGGGUACUCUAUCGCAAACAAACAAGCAUACAAUCAGUACUCAACUAAUGCACAGGUAAAACUCGAAUGAAAGAUCCAACCAGAAAGUUCAACUUAAGAACUCUGGUUUGCAAAAAGAAUCAACUCGAAAGAAGCAACGAAAGUCAAACGGCGUAAGAAAGAAACUUCGUUUGCUAAUCUGGAUCUAGGUCAAAUUUUACUGUAGCAAAACUUGUUUGAGUAGGUUAAACGGAAAGAGAAUUUCGAGACGAAACUCUAGGCGCUUGAAUCACCUGAUUCCGAUAAAUGAGAGAAAAGUUAAAAAGAUUCGAAAAUUCGAUCGGAAAUCGAAUCUGAGAAAAUAACGAGAAAAUCCGACGAAAAAGAAAAACGGACGAACGGUUAAAUAACGGACGUUCGUUAACAGAGAAAAACCGAUGAACGCGUUCGUUAAAACGAACGGUUCGGUGAACGCUCGCGAAAUAAGAAAACCGAAAAAACCGAUCUAGGGUUUUUUUUAAAACAAAAGGUUUUUUUUUUACAGAAAACCGGUCAACACGAGACGACCGGCGGCAGCAGUACCUCGGCGGGGGCUCCGGCGGGCGGGGCUCGGCGNNNNNNNNNNNNNNNNNNNNNNNNNNNNNNNNNNNNNNNNNNNNNNNNNNNNNNNNNNNNNNNNNNNNNNNNNNNNNNNNNNNNNNNNNNNNNNNNNNNNNNNNNNNNNNNNNNNNNNNNNNNNNNNNNNNNNNNNNNNNNNNNNNNNNNNNNNNNNNNNNNNNNNNNNNNNNNNNNNNNNNNNNNNNNNNNNNNNNNNNNNNNNNNNNNNNNNNNNNNNNNNNNNNNNNNNNNNNNNNNNNNNNNNNNNNNNNNNNNNNNNNNNNNNNNNNNNNNNNNNNNNNNNNNNNNNNNNNNNNNNNNNNNNNNNNNNNNNNNNNNNNNNNNNNNNNNNNNNNNNNNNNNNNNNNNNNNNNNNNNNNNNNNNNNNNNNNNNNNNNNNNNNNNNNNNNNNNNNNNNNNNNNNNNNNNNNNNNNNNNNNNNNNNNNNNNNNNNNNNNNNNNNNNNNNNNNNNNNNNNNNNNNNNNNNNNNNNNNNNNNNNNNGAUGAGGAAAACGGAGGGGGGGUAUUUAUGAGGGGGGGGGUGCGGGCGGCUUGGGGAAGGGGCUACCGAGGCGGCGACGGCUCCCGUGGCGAGCUCGGACUCCGGCAGCGUCGCGUCGUGGGGAGAGAGGAGAGGGGCGACGGGCGGGCCGUCGGCUGGGCUCGACCCAGUCGGCGCGGGCGCGUUUGUUUUUGUUCUUUUUUUUUUAAAGUUCCACGGAAAAAAUUGCGUAGAAAAAUAAAUAAAAUCAGAAAAAUAUGAAAUAAAUUUUCCCCGUCUAGUUAGAAAAUCUAGAAUAGGGUGAACAUUUUUUAAAAUCAAAAAUAAAUACUUUGAAAACAUGCAUAUUUUUAAAUGCAAUAAAAAUUGCAAAUAAAAUCCAAAUAAAUUCCAAAUAAUGAUUUUUAACAUUUUUCCUCCAGUAUUUCAAUGUUUUGGAGAAGUCAUAUUUUCUCCUCUCGUUUAUUUAAUAUGAAAUAUUUUUCCGGAGAGAAAAAUAAUUAAAAGUCCAAAUCCACGUUUGAAAAAUCAAAUAAGAAAAUUCGAGAAAAUCCCCACUCUCUCCGAGGGUCCUUGAGUUGCUUAGGAUUUAUCGAGGAUUUGUCAAAAUGCAACAAAACAUGAUAUGCAAAUGAUGAUCUAUGUAUAACAUUCCAAAUUGAAAAUUUGGGAUGUUACAAACCUACCCCCCUUAAGAUGAAUCUCGCCCUCGAGAUUCGGGUUGGCUAGAGAACAGGUGGGAGUGGUUUUUCCGUAGAUCUUCCUCUCGCUCCCAGGUGGCCUCAUCUUCUGUGUGGUGACUCCACUGGACUUUGCAAAACUUGAUAACCUUGCUGCGGGUAACUCGGCUGGCAUACUCGAGAAUCUUAACUGGCUUCUCCUCAUAAGUCAAAUCACUUUCCAACUGAAUCGCUUCCAGUGGCACAGUAUCUCUCAGUGGUAUCUCAGCCAUCUCUGCGUGGCACUUCUUCAACUGCGAAACGUGAAAUACAUCAUGAACUUCAGACAAUCCUUCGGGCAAUUCCAGCUUAUAGGCAACUUCUCCCAUACGUUCCAACACUCUGUAUGGUCCGAUAAAACGGGGCGCUAACUUUCCCUUAACUCCAAAGCGCUUUACUCCUCGAAGUGGUGAUACUCGAAGAUACACUCUGUCUCCGACUUCGUGAACUGUCUCCUUGCGUUUAGAAUCAGCAUAACUCUUCUGCCUGGACUGGGCUACCUUGAGCCUAUCGCGAAUCAUCCUCACUUUCUGUUCAGACUCCUUAAUCAAAUCUGGUCCAAACAACUAUCGAUCUCCAACUUCGUCCCAUAACAACGGUGUUCUACACCUCCUUCCGUACAAAGCUUCGAAAGGGGCCAUCUUCAAACUGGUUUGAUAACUGUUGUUAUACGAAAACUCCGCAUAUGGCAAAUUGUCGUCCCAACUAGAUCCAUAAUCUAGUGCACAUGCUCUCAACAUGUCCUCCAAAAUCUGGUUGACUCUCUCGGUCUGUCCAUCUGUCUGUGGGUGAAAUGUUGUACUAAAUUCCAGUCUGGUUCCCAAUGUUUCAUGUAGCUGCUUCCAAAACUUCGAGGUAAAUUGGGUUCCUCUGUCGGAUACAAUGGUCCUCGGAACUCCAUGCAAACAUACUAUCCUGAUCAUGUAUAUCUUCGCCAACUUAGCACUGGUGUAAGUGGUCUUUACUGGAAUAAAAUGAGCCACUUUCGUCAAACGGUCGACUACAACCCAUAUCGAGUCAUAGCCUGAACGAGUCCUGGGUAAUCCUGUGAUAAAAUCCAUGCCUAUUUUAUCCCACUUCCAUUCGGGUAUCGGCAAUGGCUGUAGCAAUCCUGCUGGCUUCUGAUGCUCUGCCUUCACUCUCUGACAUACAUCACAAACUGCUACAAACUCCGCAAUAUCCUUCUUCAUUUCGGGUCCACCAGAAAGUAUUCUUCAAAUCCAAAUACAUCUUGGUAUUCCCUGGGUGAAUCGAGUACGGUGAAUCAUGGGCUUCUUGCAAAAUCAACUUCCUGAUCUCCGGAUCAUUUGGCACAUAUACGCGGUCCUCGAACCAUAAGGUAUCGUGCUCAUCCUCACGAAAUCCCUUGGCUUUUCCUUUGCUCAUCUUCUCCUUUAUCUCUUCAACCUCCUUGUCUGCCUUUUGAGCUUCUCUGAUCUUUUCCAUCAAGGUAGACUGAAUCUCCAAUGUCGCUAAAUAGCCUCUAGGGACUAUCUCCAAACAUAGCUCGCGUAGGUCCUCGGCUAACUCCUGAGGUAACUCUCCUGUCAUGAGGGUGUUGACAUGACUCUUGCGGCUCAACGCGUCUGCUACUAUGUUAGCCUUUCCGGGGUGAUAAUGCAAUCUCAUAUCGUAGUCUUUGAUGAGCUCCAACCAUCUCCUCUGUCUGAGAUUUAACUCCUUCUGCGUGAAAAUGUACUUCAAACUCUUGUGAUCCGUGUACACUUCACAAUGGUUUCCAAUGAGAAAAUGUCUCCAUGUCUUCAAUGCAUGCACCACGGCUGCUAAUUCCAAAUCAUGCGUAGCAUAAUUCUUCUCAUGGGGUUUAAGUUGUCGUGAAGCAUACGAAACAACUCUUCCUUCCUGCAUAAGCACUGCUCCAAGUCCUCGACGAGAAGCGUCGCAAUAAACUUCGUAGUCCUUGCGUUGAUCUGGCAAAAUCAACACUGGUGAUGUAACCAAUCGUUUCUUCAACUCCCUUCCAACUUUGCGGAGCCAAUCAUCUGCAACAAUCGGCUCGGUGCUACUGGAAAACUCCGGCGGGUUUAGCCUUAAGAAACGGGCUAAGUGGUCAACAGGUGGUGGUGGCGGUGGGUUGUUGUUGCCUUGGUUCUGAACUAACACUUGCAUCAGGGCAUUCUAUUGCUGAAUCAACUGGGUGAUCUCUGGCGGGAAAACAAAACCGGUGUCGCGUCUCGGAGGCAUCUGAUAGGUUUUAGAAAAGAUGAGAUUUAAGAAUAGAAUGAGGUCUAGAGAGAAAACACUACCCAUAUGCUCAUGAGACAAAUUCAAUCAAUAUCACUCAAUCAAUCCAAACAAGGCAAAACAAUCGAUCUAUCUAGCGUUACAAAGUGCUUGAACUAUACUACUAAAUGGGGGAAAACUACUACUGAUAUGGUAGUCUACUAAAAAUUCUGAUCCGUUGAAGACUCCAUGAUGUCUGCUCCAGCUUCAUCAAUCCAUUCCUCUUCACUUGGUUCCGAGUCGGUGUCGUCGAUGAUGAUGUAGUUACCCGGAAAAGUGCAUUCGUCGACUUCUGCUUUUGGCACUGGAUUUCCCACGAAUGCUCCAAUCUUAUUCUCCAGGUCGUCAAUCUUCCCUACUAGUGCGUUGAUUUCCUCCAAAUAAUCUUCGCGGGUAGCCUUGAGUUCUUCUUGGAGUUCCUUGAUCUUCGUGAAUGCCUUCUUCAGUUCUUCCUUGUCCGUGCAUAUCUCGUUCUCCCGGCGUCGAAUAUGUUGGUUCUGCUCCUGGAUGAAAGCUGCAAUUGAUCCAUCCUUCUUGGUCUUGAUCAUCUCCCAUUGUGUGUCUCGACGUCCACAAAUAUGAUAAAUUGUAUCCUUAAGCUCCUGGUGAUAGACUUCUCCAAUGCGUCCCAUGGCGAUGUGUGCGGCCAUGCUCUUCCCUAAACUCCAAGUUGGUGCUUCGAAAACCAAUCUCAUGGCACUAAACAUCCUUCCUGGAAUGAUAACUUGAAUCUUCCAGCUCUCCUCUUCAGGUAAUGUAGCGUUGUAGGUUCCGGUGACGCUUGGUAUUCCUAUGUUCAAGUACUUGGUGACUUCCUUCAAGUGUCGUCCAAACGGCGUGUCUUCAUCUGGUUGCAUGAACUUGCUCCUUGCAUUCGCCAUUCCUAAAAGAGUAGAAAGUGGAGAGGAGUCAGAAAUGAGAAGAGAGAAGUUUUCUAGGGCUUAAGCUUAGUGGUCGUGUCCUACAGUCAGCGUGUGCUCUGAUACCAACUUCGUAGCGACCAGACCUCAAAUGGCCUGUGCUGCUGUGCACCAGUGUCAUCCCUGGAUCAGUAAUGCUGACACGCACAGUACAAAUGGAGGAUUUAUAACAGAGUAGCAAUCACACACUUAUUACAUCGAAUAUCUCCGAAGAGAUUAAGUAUGAUAAACAUGGCUUAAGGCCAUCUAAUAACGAUAACAACGGAAGACUUGGAAGAUAAGUGAGUCCAUCAACUCCAGCGGCAUCACUGAGUAUAAGACCACGACCUAAGGCACCUUACUCGUCGUCUGAAAAGUCUGCAACAUGAAACGUUGCAGCCCGAAACGGGUCAGCACAUAGAAUAUGCUGGCAAAGCAACACAUAGAGAACAAUGAACAAUGAUAAGGCUAUACUAUAUGCAUAUAUGGCUGGUGGAAAGGCUCUAUGGUUAAUGUUUUUGCGAAAAGCCAAUUUUAUCCUACUGCAAAGGAAUAAAUUUUAUUUAACUAUCAUGGUGGUUGAAAAACAUUGAGAAGGUACCUCCAACUCAAUCCCAAUUAAGUAACAUCAUUAACCCAACAAAAUUAAUUAUAAGUAUCACAGUGAUGAGAUUCAAAUGAUAAUCCAGAUACUAGAUACUCAAGUUGUCCAUAACCGGGGACACGGCUAAUCAUGAUCGGUUUGUACACUCUGCAGAGGUUUGUGCACUUUUCCCCACAAGACUCGAUCGCCUCCGCUUGAUUCUCGCACUGCAUGUUGUUUGAGAAACGGAUGACCGAGACACAGUCUUUCAGAAACAGUCACUCUCUACUCUGGAUGGACCGGUACACCUACUUUCCCCUACAUCUGCUAGUCCACCUCUUCAAGAGAUCCUGUAACCUACUCAGCUGUGCUAGAGCCCAUAAUAGCUUGCGGCUGCACACGAAAGUUUCUAGCAUGAAUAAUCUUAUGAUCCCUUUGAGCCUGGGUGGCGGACCUUAUACAUACAGACAACACUGGGUUCUCCAGGUGCCUCAAUCCACCCAGAUGUGAGUUUUAGUUGCCACCUUAAGUUUAACCAUUAAUUAACAUCUCACAUCUGUCAUGAAUAUCUCUCAAACCCAAUCCACGUCUACGAGCAUAGCACGGCAUAUAAUAGCAACGUAGAAGUAACUCCCAAGAGUUUGAUAUAGUAAAGCAGGUAAUAGGUACUACCUCAACUACUUCCCAAUACCCACAGUUUAAUUAGAUCCUAAUCAUGCAAUGUGUUUGAGGAAUAGAUCUAAUGCAAUAAAAACUGGGUAUGAACGGGGUAUGAUCAAAGUGUUACUUGCCUUGCUGAUGAUCCGCAAAACCUAGCGAGUCGAAGUAACAAGCGGCACACUCCGGGUACUCUAUCGCAAACAAACAAGCAUACAAUCAGUACUCAACUAAUGCACAGGUAAAACUCGAAUGAAAGAUCCAACCAGAAAGUUCAACUUAAGAACUCCGGUUUGCAAAAAGAAUCAACUCCAAAGAAGCAACGAAAGUCAAACGGCGAAAGAAAGAAACUUCGUUUGCUAAUCUGGAUCUAGGUCAAAUUUUACUGUAGCAAAACUUGUUUGAGUAGGUUAAACGGAAAGAGAAUUUCGAGACGAAACUCUAGGCGCUUGAAUCACCUGAUUCCGAUAAACGAGCGAAAAGUUAAACAGAUUCGAAAAUUCGAUCGGAAAUCGAAUCUGAGAAAAUAACGAGAAAAUCCGACGAAAAAGAAAAAUGGAUGAACGGUUAAAUAACGGACGUUCGUUAACAGAGAAAAACCGAUGAACGCGUUCGUUAAAACGAACGGUUCGGUGAACGCUCGCGAAAUAAGAAAACCAAAAAAAAA
rnacentral:lncRNA from 1 species